CACUUUCCCCACAAAUAUGCUUUGUUGUACUUUUGGAUGUACUUCUCCGUAUUCUGUAAGGACCUCUGCGGUUUUGGCAAAACAACAAACCACACUUCACCUGGAAAACACAGCCAGGACUCACUGUCAGAUGUCUGAAAAUGUACAGUACACGCCAGCAGGUCUCACCAUAGUCAACAUCAUUAAGGAUUUGGCACUCUGACCUGAGAAGAGGCCCCAUAAACACACCUGACAAGGACCAGCCACUGUUGCCAGUGCACAACUGAGGACCUGACCAGCCUGCUGCCAUCUAUGAUACUAUAUAGUACCCGCGGAGCGGUCUGAAGACGUGGAGUACACUGCAGCAGGUAUCACAUGACCAAGGACUUGGACAACGUCUCUGUUUACAUCUAUAAUGUAUUACACAACUGAAGAUGUGCACAGUACGCUGCUGCCUGCAUCCUACCACCACAGAGGAUCCGAUAUGCAGAACCAGCUUCAAAAACCAUUGCAAUUAUGAAACACAGUUAAUAAAUGCUUAUAUACAGCAGCCCGCACAUUUUGUUUAAUUUGUAAUAUUGGUUAACACACUAUUGUUACAACAGUUUAGAUCGGUGUUUCCCAACCAGGGGUACAUGUACCACUAGGGGUACGUGAACACAAUGCAGGUGGUACAUGCAUUGGCAGGUAUCAAUAAAAAGAAAUGUAUGGAGCAUAAUCAUAUUGGGAUAGAGCAGUGGUUCCUAACCUAUGGGUCGGGACCCAACUUAUGGGUCGCCAAAGAUCCACAGUGGGUCGCGAAGCCCUCUUGAUUUUAAGGGGUUUCGUUUUAAUACCAUAUAGCCCAUGUUGAAUAUAUAUGACAAAGUAAAGCUUUUAAACUGAUAUAUGCAUAGAGGCAACAAAAUGUAAGCGACACAUUAAACAGUCAUUCUAUAUUUGACUGAAGACAAAUUGAGGAAUAGAAUUUUCUAAUGAGUUUCCGCAGGACUCCCUCUCGCCUGGGACUCCCUCUCGCGUGGGCGCUGGCACGAUUGGGUCACCAAAGCUUACAAUGGUAAAAAUAUGGGUCCCUGAAGAAAAAGGUUGGGAACCACUGGGAUAGAGGAAGAUAUACAGUAGACUAGAGCAUG